CUCUACUGCAAGUGAGUGUGAAAAGCUACAAAUCACAUUUACCUUUCUCCUAGAAGCACAUGUUCCUGCUCUGUUGGGCAGAUCCAGCAAGAAAAUCAACUUUGCCAACAGUAAUACCAUAUUCCAGGAUCUCUGUGCCCAAGACUACGAAAAUGUUUUGGUGAGAAUAACCUCACAUUGAUCAGUUCACGCCAAGGAGCUCCCUUUCCUGCUGCAGCACCACUGCUUGGUCCAUUAGAGCUCAGGGAGGGACCUGACGCCUGGUCAUCUGAGUCCUGGUCUGAAAUGUGUAAGAAGGGGUCAGAAGGCCUUGGGAGAACUGAAAAAGAAGUCACUGGCCUGGCUUCAGUCACCUGUCCCCAGACCAAACCACAGACCUGGGAUCCUGAACACAGGGCCUCAUGUGCAGGCCAGGCCAGUUAAACCGGAAACAUAAAGGAGCCGACAGCUUGCAGCUGCUCAGAGGGAAGGUUUGCUGGCACGGAGCACCCAUGAAAAGCAGAACCCUGAUCUUCCAGCCUGGGAGGCUGUAGCUGAGGUUCUGGGACCCUGACAGGUGCUGGGCUGCUCAUUCAGCUUUUCAUGGGCAGAGACAGGUCCCCGCUGGUCCUGGCCCCCUGCCCAAGCCCAGGAGGAAUGGAUGUGUUUUGGGUGGCAUCCUCCAGGACAGGAAGAAGCAGGGCUUUGUCCCCCGACCUUGGAGCACAGCCUGAAGCUCAGGGCAUAGCUCAAGCUUCUAUUGCGAGAAACCUGAUCCUGGGACUUGAACACUCUGCUCUUUGUGUUCUGCACAACAGGAUGGUCCUGCUACUUGCUCAGCUCAGUGUGUGUCCUGGCUUCAGCUUCCCUCCUAAGCACCUGACUGCUGGCAGGUUACUGUGACUUAUGGCCAUUAUAUCUGCUGGGCUUGUACUUCCAGCAUCUCACUGGCAUGGGCAUCUCACUGGCAUGGGCAUCUCCCAGGCAAGGGUUUCCAUGCAGAGGCUGCCAGGCCAGCAGGAGAGGAGACCUCUAGCCCAUCUGUCAGCACUGAAUAAUUUCAUCCGCACGUACUUCUCUUCCAAUCACCCAGGCUACUUUAGCUUCCCUGAACCACGCCAGCCAAAGACACUGGAUGACCUGCACCCUCUCACACAGGAUGCAUCUCCUCUAGUGCUUUGGGAGGUCCACCACACUGGUUUCUCUGUGAGGUCAUCUUUGCUGUGAUACUCUGGCCUCCUCCUGGUAACUUCACACAUUCUGGUUUGCCAGACUUCUGGAUGUGUUCAAUUAAGUCAAAACAUAAGGGCCUUCUGAGCAUUCAGCUCUGUGCUUCAAGCCAUGGAGGAUAAAAAAGUCCCUAGGGGAUGGCUAAGAGUUGUCCAAGGCUUGUCCACCCAAAGGGAGACCCAAAGAGAAAGAAUUCUACUGUCAGUUAGAUUGGGGAAUCUUGAUCCUUCAAAACAUAUAUUUUUAUGUGAAAGUUUCUGUGAUGUGAUGUCCUGUCAUAAACAAAAUCUGUUGCCUUUUUUUUUAAUCAUCCUUACUGACAUCUCAAGGAACUAAUGAAUGCUUUUGGAAUAUAAUUUAG
ensembl:lncRNA